CAGAACGAACGCUGGCGGCGCGUUUAAGCAUGCAAGUCGAGCGGCAGCAGCAAUGCGAGAGCGGCGGACGGGUGAGUAACACGUGGGUAAUCUGCCCUCCGGUCGGGAAUAGCCUGUGGAAACACAGGAUAAUACCGGAUGCGAUGGGUCCUCACACGAAGUGGGGGGUCAGGAAAGGAGCCAAGGCUCCGCCGGAGGAUGAGCCCGCGUCCCAUUAGCUUGAUGGUGAGGUAAAGGCCCACCAUGGCGAUGAUGGGUAGCCGGCCUGAGAGGGUGAACGGCCACAUUGGAACUGAGACACGGUCCAGACUCCUACGGGAGGCAGCAGCUAAGAAUCUUCCACAAUGGACGAAAGUCUGAUGGAGCGACGCCGCGUGGGCGAAUGAAGGCCGUGAGGUUGUAAAGCCCUUUUCUUGAGGGGGAAUAACGCAGGCAGGGAAUGGCCUGCGGAUGACGUGAAUCAAGGAAUAAGCCCCGGCUAACUACGUGCCAGCCGCAGC
rnacentral:rRNA from 1 species